AAAUCCAUUAUGACUGAAUGACUAACUCAAAGAUUCAAGAAAUUAUUAUUUAGUUCGUAAAUUACUCAAAACUCUUAAUACUUGAAAUUCCUCAGCUUGUUACAAUCUUCAAUUAAUUGUUUAAUAAGACAAAGAAGAUGAACUCCAAUCAGUAAAGUUUCCUUCUCAUGUAUAAUCUGGUUGAUUCAGCUCUUUUAGAAGGAAGGCAAAACUAAUUUAGGAUGCUGCCCUUAAAUGCUCAGGCCCACUCACGUAGUCUCCCUAGUUCUGACGUCUUAACAUCAGUGGGGAACACUUGAGAAGAUUAGAUGGCAGAAGAGAGAAGGCAGUGGGCCUUGAGAGCAGCAGCUAAGGAGCCUCUCUUGCUCUCUUGAAGAGAGAAGUGUCACCUGGAAAGAGAAACAGGGAGCUGGUAGUCUCAGCGUUUUCCAGAGGAUACCGACUUUUGAGGCAAUGGCCCAGAGUGGCCACAUGUGUCUUGAAUAAUCGAAAUAACCUUUGCCUUUCACCGGGAGCCUCUUAAAGAUCAGAGAAACCAAGGAAGUAAUUUCAAGAUAUAAGAGGAAGUCAACAGGAUCACAUAUACUAAAAGAUGUCAAGGAAAUAAAGAGAGAAAAACUUCCAUUGGAUUUGUGCGGGAGCCUUGAACAAACACGUGUGCUACACGACACACCAGUUCUGGAGCUCCUUCUUGUGUUCUUCCCAAUAACCCCGCCCUGUGUGAAUAUGAAGCAUCAUAUACCUAUAAGAUAAUAUGGAUAAUAUUCCUGGAAGAAGCUAAAAUAGCAGAAAGCAGGUCACCCAGCUCCUGAGCAUCUGUUGGAAGAGGUCAUUGAGAGGACGUGGUUGACCUGUGAGCUUGUCCUGUCAAUCGGAGGCUCCUCAGCUCCCCCUCUGUCCUUGGAAUGUGCAUUCCACUCACCAUUCCCUCACUAGGAGCUGUUUCAAGGAUGCACCUUUGAUCAAGAGAGCAAUAUGUUAUUGAGGCCAUCUGAAUGGUAUAUGUGACUGAGCCCAGGUAAGGCCUCUAGACAAACUUUAAGAUUCUGGAGAGCGGGUCCAGAGAUCUACUCAUUUUGUGGCAACUAGGGCAAGCCUCCUAAGUCAAGUUCCUUUGCUUAUUAAACCUGCCAUCUACCAAUCUGGAGUGGCUGUCUCUUUCUUCAGUCUCUCCUCACCCUCCGUGUAAAGGGGCCAGUUUCAGAUUAGACCUGGGAAGCACCCAAAUUUGUGAACCAGUGCAAAAUUGCUUCUCCCGAAUUGCCAAGCUGAAUUGGGCUCUGGUAUGAAGCCAUCAGCCUAUAUUGAGAAUUGAAGUUGUCAUUAUGUUUAUUAUAUGGCUAUUGUGAAGAAUACCGUUCACUUCAUCAUAUAACGGCCUUUUUAUCAGGAACCCCAGAAGAAAUUACUGUCUGAUCUUACCACCAAGAUGAAUUGUUCUUCUUCUGAGUAAUUCGUUUAUUUCAUUUCUUUUAAACUGUGACUUAUAUAACUGAUAAUUACAUCUUCCCAAAAACGAUUGAAUUGUUUUCUUGCAAAAUAUUUUUUUGUUACUGUGGGCAAAGUGCAAUGAUGAGUCCUGGAGAUUUUCAGUGGGC
ensembl:lncRNA